rnacentral:rRNA from 1 species
UACGUAGGGACCAAGCGUUGUUCGGAUUUACUGGGCGUAAAGGGCGCGUAGGCGGCGUGUUAAGUCAGCUGUGAAAUCUCCGAGCUUAACUCGGAACGGUCAGCUGAUACUGAUGUGCUAGAGUGCAGAAGGGGCAAUCGGAAUUCUUGGUGUAGCGGUGAAAUGCGUAGAUAUCAAGAGGAACACCUGAGGUGAAGACGGGUUGCUGGGGCUGACACUGACGCUGAGGCGCGAAAGCCAGGGGAGCAAAACGGG